UCCAGUUCUGGUGUGGGCUUUGCCUCCCAGGCAGCCCUGUUGCUGAGGUGUGCAGCUGCUCCAGGCAAGGUAGCCUCACAGAGGACGGUUCCCAGGUACAAAAGAAUCCCAGCACUUUUUUGCCUUAGAAAGAGCCAGAACAUAUGGUUGGUCUGGAAGCCCAGAAUCUAGGACACUGGAAAAGAGGGAUGGAUACACUCAUCACGGCUUGAAAGACAGACCUUGCAAGAUGUCUGGGAACCACCACCAUCACGUCUGGAAAAAAGUGACUUCACACUACAGCGGAGGAAAACCAUGGGUUGGCCAAAAACGGAACAGAAUUUAUAAGGGAAAAGGAAGGUUCUGGAGU